GAAAUCCCCACUAGGUUUCUUCCCAAAGCACUGCAAAUCCAGACGAAGCCACCUGAAGAGUCUGUUCAAAUGACACCAGCCAAGAGAAAGGCCUGGAUCAGAGACAAGAGACUGGAGGGAAAACGAAGGCUCAAAACCCCCCCCCAAAGCCACUUGGUUGCCAGUGGAGAAUCUGCAGGCAAAGCCAAAGCCUCCAGCGCCCUGAACCUAACAUCUGCAACUGGGCCUCCUGUGCCCUGCCUUCAAGUCUCAACUUUGAACUUUUGUAACUUGAGGGGAUGGUGGGCUGGGAGGUGGAGGAGAAUGACAAAAAGGGUGACAUUGAUCAAGAGGAACUGUACUUGGAAACUGACAUGUUGAAAUGAAACCCCUUUUACAACUACUUGCAAGAUAAUUU